GCUCAGUGGUGUGUGGCACUGUAAACCUGGGGGCCUCUGGAAAUAUGGACACCACGAAGGCCAGAAGACAACAGAACAACAUCCGUAAGGGGCUGAAAGAAAAGAAAACUGGUCAACCGAGAAUUUUAUACCCAACAAAAAUAUCUUUCAAGAAUGAAGGUGAAUUAAAGAUUUUUUCAGAUAAAGUUGUAGGUCCUUCCAGUUGUGGCAUGUGGGACACUGCCUCAGCAUGGCCUGAUGAGCGGUGCCACGUCUGCACCCAGGAUCCGAACUGGUGAAACCCUGGGCCACCAAAGCGGAGCGCGAGAACUUAACCACCGGCCACAGG
rnacentral:lncRNA from 1 species